UAUUCUCUGGAGUAAUGAGGACAGAGACUACAGUCUGAAAUUCAGCCAUUGUGGACUCUCUGUAUUUUUCCUCAAUGUCUUUGAGUUUGCACUGCAUGUCUCUUUGCUUUAUGUCUUGUUCUUCCUUCUGUUGAAGGAUUUCUCUAUUUUUUUCCAGCACUUUGUAGAGGUUUUCUUGGAGCUCCUCAUUAAUUUUGCGUGUGUGUUCGAGCUCUUCUUCUAACUUUUCUAUAGUAGCAUCAUUUGCAUCAAACUUGUCGGACCCUUGUUGUAAAAGAUCCAUAUGUUUCUUGUAGCCUUUUUUCAUGAAACAAAUCUCAUUUCGGGCUGUACCAAACUUGAUUCCCCAGCCUUCAUUAAUGAUCUUUAUGUCAGGCUGGCGUUUAAUUUGUGCUUCCAUUUCUAUGCACUUCUCCUGAAGUCCAAGCAUCUCUUCUUCAGCUCGUUUAAUUUUGUUUUGUAGAUCGACAGAGCAAAGAGAGGACAGGGAUGCGUUUUGUCGUUUUUGGUGUUUUUGUGGAUUCAUGGCUGUAUACACUACAGUGACUUUGAAAAGGUUUUCAGAUGUUUCUCUGGUGAACGUUUGAAUGCUGUGAAAACACUGACUAAAAAUUGCUGCUUCUCGGUCCUAUUUAAGGAAAAACUUCAAAGGAUUUAAGAUUCUAAAUUUGACUUUAUGACAUCAUCACUCUAAACCAAGGAGUGAUGAUGUCAUAAAGAAAAGGUCACAUGACAUUUUGGCUGGGCGGUGCCUAAAGGCCUCAGCUGUAGGUGUUUAAACCAACAGUCAUUGGUUUAAACCUUUCCAAAAGGUUGAUUCUGUUUUCAGUGAGAGAAACGUUUAGUCACUCAUCCAAGGGACUUCAGUCUCAGCUGACUGCAGGUUUUCCCCAACCUUAUAAACAGUACACUUGCACAAUAACUGAAACCAGCCCAGUGAAUGAACAGUGAGGUCAGUUCCUUGAUUAUUAGUAUGCAAAGCAAGACAUGUUUGAACAUUAAAUGUCCUCGUGUUCGGAGCAGCCUAAUGGAUGCGCUAAAGGGUUAAGAACAUACAGAGGUCAGCAGCGGAUAGUGAGGACAGCAGAGAGGAUCAUUGGAGGCCCUCUCCCGCCCAUCUCCCAACUCUACGACAAACACAUCAUCCGACGUGUGAAGGACACUUUCCACCCCUCACAUGCACUCUGGAUGGCGAUUGAUGGGGAACAGAGACUCUUCCCAUGAACGGAAACAACACGAACAGUGAGUACAGAAGGCCUUAGAGAGCGGCUAUGUGCCCGUGCGUUAAAGCAGGUACGUGAGUGCGCAAGCUGUGCGUGUAGACACAAGCUGCCUGGUUUCUCCGCCAGUGUUUUCGUUUUGUUAUUAAUCUUUUUGAUUUAUUUAAGGAGGGUUAAGUCGGUUUCUCCACCGAAGGAGGUUUAAAGAGGUUUCUCCACCGAAUAGAAGGAGGGUAAGGACGGUUUCUCCACCGAAAGGAGGAUAGAGCUCUAUAAAG